GAUGAAGAACGUAGCGAAAUGCGAUAAGUAAUGUGAAUUGCAGAAUUCAGUGAAUCAUCGAAUCUUUGAACGCACAUUGCGCCCUCUGGUAUUCCGGGGGGCAUGCCUGUUCGAGCGUCAUUAUAACCACUCAAGCUCUCGCUUGGUAUUGGGGUUCGCGGCUCCGCGGCCCCUAAAAUCAGUGGCGGUGCCUGUCGGCUCUACGCGUAGUAAUACUCCUCGCGUCUGGGUCCGGUAGGUCUACUUGCCAGCAACCCCCAAUUUUUACAGGUUGACCUCGGAUCAGGUAGGGAUACCCGCUGAACUUAAGCAUAUCAAUAAGCGGAGGA
rnacentral:misc_RNA from 1 species